UGGCUCAGUCGGCUGAGCAUCUGACUUCGGCUCAGGUGGUGAUCUUGAGGUUUGUGGGUUCGAGCCCCAC
rnacentral:tRNA from 1 species